GGCGCUCGCAAGGCUCACGCUCGGCUCACCGAAGCUGGGAGGUUUCGAAUUGAAGCGUUUGCAUCUUGCUUCCCUCCCCUAGACCCUGUGUCUUAACUCCAGGGCAAAACUCCCUGCGUCCGAGCUGGUUUUCCAGUCCUUUUUGACUCUGCCGCUAUAGCUUCAAGGAGCCUUCUCCUGCACGUUUUGCACACCCAAACCGCUCCUUGAAGUCAGACGUGGGGGUGCAAAGAAUGCAGGCUGAUGCCGCAGAGGACUAGAAUUCCACCCUGUCCUGGGGCAGACCAUUCAUUUGAGUCUCAGUGGAAGCAGGAAGAUGAUGAUGGCGUCAAAAAUCCUGGACAUGUACGCUGGGAAGGAAAGAAUUAACCAGCAGGGGAGAAAAAACUUCAAAAGACUGUUUACCAGCAAUCUGCCUGCAAGCCUUGCU